rnacentral:rRNA from 1 species
AUACGAAGGGGGCUAGCGUUGUUCGGAAUUACUGGGCGUAAAGCGCAUGUAGGCGGACAUUUAAGUCAGGGGUGAAAUCCCGCAGCUCAACUGCGGAACUGCCUUUGAUACUGGGUAUCUCGAGUAUGGAAGAGGUGAGUGGAAUUCCGAGUGUAGAGGUGAAAUUCGUAGAUAUUCGGAGGAACACCAGUGGCGAAGGCGGCUUACUGGUCCAUUACUGACGCUGAGGUGCGAAAGCGUGGGGAGC